rnacentral:lncRNA from 1 species
GGCUGUAUUUCCUUGAUCCUCUGAUUCUGAGGCUACUGCUCCGGCUCCACCUAGAGAUGAUGCUUGAGAUGCAAUUGCUGUUGAAGUUGUUGCUGGGGUUGCGGCUUGGAUUGGGACCCUUACUUGUUGCGCUAUUGUUACUACAGUUGUGGCUAGGGCAUUUUCUUGUUGAGCUGCAUUUGCGUUUGUGGUUGCAGAUGCCAAUGCAGCUUCAGCUUGAGCUUCGCUUGUGGAUGGGUCCUCUUCAAUGGUGGAUAAAGUUGGGGCUGCUGCUAUGGCUUCACUUGGAGAUGAAGCUUGAGAUGCAAUUGCCUUGGAAGUUGUUGCUGUGUUGGCGGCUUGGACUGGGGACCCUACUUGUCGCUCUAUUGUUACUAAGGUUGUGGCUUGGGCAUUUCCUUGUUGAGCUGCAUGCGCGUUUGCAUUUGCAGAUGCCAAUGCGGCUGCAAUUGAUGUUCUGCUUAUGGUUGGGUCCUCUCCUAUUCUGAAUGCAGUUGGAGCUGCUACUACGGCUUGAGCUAGAGAUGAAGUUUGAGGAGCAAUUGCAGUCGCAGUUGUUUCUAUGGCUUUGGGUGGUAUAACGUUUGCAUUUGCAGAUGCCAAUGCGGCUGCAAUUGAUGUUCUGCUUAUGGUUGGGUCCUCUCCUAUUCUGAAUGCAGUUGGAGCUGCUACUACGGCUUGAGCUAGAGAUGAAGUUUGAGGAGCAAUUGCAGUCGCAGUUGUUUCUAUGGCUUUGGGUGGUAUAGUUCGAAUAGCUAAAACCUCUUUAUCACUGUCGCGAAUCAUACCAACAAGCUUUUCCACAAAACGAGUGUGGUUUGCUGCCGUUGCAAUAUGGAGAGCAGUCUCCCCUCGCUUAUUGAGCCUUCUUGUAGUUGGUUGUAAGGAUGCAGCCUUCUCCCAGUCACCACUUAUCGCAGCUUUAUACAAUGCCAAUUUAAUUCCUUCAUCUAUCAAGUUGAAUUGAAGAGAAAAUGCAAGUGAUGAUAAUGAAAGUAACAAAAAUGAGAAAAUUGUUAAAUUAUACCAUGCAACAACAGAUGCGUAUUUAAAUUAAAAUUUUAUAAAUUAAUUAUUUUUUUUUUUUUCAAAGCAAUUUGUAGACAACAAAAUUAAACUUAUUCUCUGAAUGAUUUUAAAUGUGUUGAAUUAUUAUAUUCCAAAAUAUAUACUUCUGAUUGCUCCAAAAAUACUUUCCAGCAAAAUAAAAUGCAGAGUUCAUGUGUAUAAAUUUUUCAUAGUAAAUUGAGAACAAUUUAUGAGCUGUUACAUUUAAUUUAUAUAAUCUCCAUUAAUGCCAAUUUACAUAGACACGGGUCCAUAAAUUGUCUUUCAUGCAAAUUGUGUAAUAAAUUUUAAGUAAAGGAAACAUAGAUGAAGGAAUUUUUUUAUAUAUAGAAUAUUUUAUUCAACAAGAAAGAACAAAAAAAUUAAUUACUCCUAAAGUUGUUAUUCAGGAAAUUGACAGAGAUGUAGAAAACUUUUUUGGACUGUGGCUUUGGAAAGGGAUAAAAAAGGAGCAGUAGCCUAGGACUUUAUAUGUGUCAAAGGAGGAUUCAGGGUUAAAAAGACUGGGACAUUGAACGUUGCAGCUGUUGGAAAACAAAUAUGGAAAUUGUUGACCUCAAAGAGAUUUAUGGGCAAAGUGGGUAGUAUAGAAUAAGCUGAAGCAACUGAGCUACUGGGGGAUAAUUAAGCUAAUGGACGCAAGUUGGGCUUAGAGGCACUUGGUUGGUAUCGUUAUUAUAGGUACACGUUAGGGAAGGGUGACUUCUUCUGGUUUGACCCUGGACGGAUGAAUAUAGUAUUUUUGAUAGAUUCCCUUCCAUUAAAAUUGAGUACAUUGAUAUUCCUCCAAAGACAACGGUGAACGAACUCUAAAAAGAAAGGUAGUGGAGAUUACCUAACCCUUUAGGCAGAAUGACGAAGAAAGCAUUAAAUGGGGAGAAGAGAUAUAGGAUGUGGGAAAACCAGGAAGAUAAAAUUGAAUGGAGACUAAUUAACUCUGGCAGUUAUACAAUAGCAUGUAUUUAGGAUGUGUGAGGAAUAAAACUGGCAAAGUUAAUUUGUGGAAACUGGUAUGGGAUAGGCAUGGGUUGCCUAGACAUGACUUUAUUGUGUGGAUGGAUAUUCUAAACAGGUUAGCUCGUAAAAUUAAACUAGUUAAAUGGAGAUUGGUGUCUGAUGAUAAAUGCAGAUUUUGCAAUGUUCAUGAGGAGACAGUGGAGCAUUUAUUCUUUGAUUGUAAUUUCUCUAAUAGGGUUUGGAAGGAAGUGCUAUAGAGAGGUGAGAUUAGGAGGGGCCGUAUGAGGUGGAGAAAGGAAAUUUGUUGGCCUACACGAAGGGCUACUGGGAAAUCCCUGCUAGCUGCUAUAAGGAGAAUUGUGUUUACUGCCACUAUGUAAUGUGGUUGGUGGGAAAAGAAUAAGGUUGUUUUUAACCAUUAGUAGCUGAUGCAGGAUCAGUUGUAAAGAGAGUAGCAAGUGCUGAAUUUUUUUGGAUUGGGGCUGGGUUGCCAUAUUAUGCAGAUAAAUGGUGAAAUGCUGCAAGCUCAGGUUUUAAAUGAUGUGUUUUCCCAUUUGCUUGUAUGUCUGAUGUUGGAAUGUCUUUUGGGUGUUUUAUGGUUAUUGUUGUUGAAAGGGAUGUUAUUUAUUGAUGUUGUGAAAUUCUGUGUGAUUGCUGAGAUGGAGUUUGACUUUUGUGGUGCCUAUAUUUGGGAAUGAUUUGGGUGGGUGUACAGAAUAAGCCAUGACGACUGUGAUAGUAAUGAGGCCUGCAAUUUAUGCGUUGGUGAUGCAUUGUUUUGAUAUUCUAUAAAGAGGUUGUUGAUGACAAGGAGUUUGGGUUCCUGCACUAGCCUUGUGUCACAUAUUAUUGAAAGAAGAAAAAGGGAAUUGAUAAAAACAGAGUGGAGGGAAAUAGGCUCCGAUAGCUUUGGUUGUUAAGAAAUCAGUUACAAUAAUUACUGUAUAAAUACCAGCUGGAAGCAUUUCUCCAGCCAGCUGAAUAAUGUUUACAACAACCCCUCCCUCUACAAUUCUAAUUCUCCCUUACCUAGCUCUAUCUCUUUCUCAUCUCCUAUUUCUUCUGAGUCUCUUCUCACCCCAAUCUCAUCACUGUCUCAUCUCUUUCAAUUCAUAAUUCUUUUAUCUGUUAUUGUGACAAUUUGGUCUGACGUCUGAUUUUCUAAUUCUCUCUCUCAGCUCUAUCUCUUUCUCAUCUCCUACUUCUUGUAGUCUCUUCUCACCACAAUCUCAUCAAAUCUCCCAUCUCUUUCAAUUCUUAGUUCUUUUCUCUGAUAUUAUGACACCUUGCUUGCUGUGAUGGAGAUAAAAGACACAAGGAGAGAAUUGAAGGAGACAAGGGAAGGGGAAUGGAUAAACAAUGACCAAAUUGAAUUAUGGAAUUAUAAAAAAUUGUAAAUAAACACUAAAAAUAAAUUAUUUUCUUAAAAGGUAUUUUUUAUAAAAAAUAUUUUCUACAUAUAAGUAAAUUGAAAGGUCAAUUUCAUUUUUCCCUAGCUUCAAGUUUCAAAAACUAAAAGAUACAAGAACCUAAAAUUAAUUUGAAUCAACAUAAUUUCAUUCUAAAAAUAAAAUAAUUUCAUUCUAAAAGUCCAAUAAAAUUUGCACAAUAUUAUAGACAAGUAAAUAAGUCAUACCAUUACUGUUUCCUUCAUUGGUAGCCAUGUCGAUUACCCAAUUUAAGCUGUUAUAAAUAAGAAAGCCUUCAAUGAUCGAUAUUCCUAUCCUGCAAUGAUCAAUACUCCUAUAAUAAGUAUUCUUGAUCUAAAUAUUAUUUAUAUAUAUAUAUAACAAAACUUAACUUUAUUGAAAUAAAAACUUAAUGCAUUUUUUCUUUUAUAACUAAAUUUACUUUAACAAACUGGAUUUAGUUCAUCAAUAAUUCGAUUAGAAUAAAAUUAUUAAAAAGAAUUCAAUAUUUCUCGUCAUAAACUUCAACUCUAAAACAUAAAUUUCAAUCCAAUAUUCACAAUUCACACACUUUUUUAUCAUUUAAAUUCAUAUUUUCUAUUUUGAUUAUGUUCUGAUUUUUGUCAAGAUUUAUAUCAGGAUCAAAUUGAAAAUAAUUUUAAAUUUUAAUUUUAUAAUAGUUUAAUAAAAGUAUGAUGAGCUAGACAGUAAUUGAUGCACCAUAGAAUUAGAAGGUAAUUCAAUCUUGAGACUUUAAUGUUUUACACCACCUAGCGGCAAUAGUAUCUUUUAUUCUUUAUUUUCUAUUUUCUUUAAUUAUCAAUAUUUUAAAUAAUUUUAUAAAAUUUAAUUAGACAACUAAAUCAAAUUUUUUAAUACGAUACAUUAUGUGUUUACAGUGUGUUAUACGUUGUCAUCAUACAGUGGAUACAACAGAAUCACAUAGUAAAAUUCUAAUAUCCCGUAACACUUUAUCAUACAAAUCUUAAUUAUAGGAAAGGAGAUCCGGUCAUUCAUGAUGGUCAACAUUCGAAAAAAUAGUAAAUUCGUCCAAAGAGUCAAACCUCUCAUGACAUUUAAAUUACCAUUAAAAAAUAUUAUACAAUAGAUUUCCCAUUAGGCUCUUAUUCACUAGCCGUUAUUAGCCAAAUUUCUAUAAAAAUUACUAAAUAAUUCUAUCAUGUUAUAGUACAAAAACAAAAUAUACACAGAAGUCAAAGUACGCAUUCUUGCCUCUUCUUAAACUUAAGCAAUCUACAUACAUUUGUCCUUUUUGAUAACUUACUGUUUCGCGGUGGCUGUCCAUAGGCACCAACCAUUUCUAUGAUCUACAGAGUGUCAAAACAUUUUCAUUUCCUUCUCGACCAUAUCACUUUUAAUUUUACAAGUAGAAGAAAAUACAACAUAUUUAUUUAGAAUGUUACAUAUAUAAUGUAUUUCUCACCUUUAGUAUUGUUAUUUUUGUAAUGCUAACAACAUAUAAUUUUAUUAUUUUCUAAUAUUAAACAUAAUAUUUUUAUUUUUUAAAAAAAUUUACAAGAAUAUUAUUAUAAUUUUAAAUAGAGACAUAAACCUAUAUUGAAAUGUUAAAAAUGAAAUUAAAUAAAAUUCUUAAAAUUAAACUAAAAUUUAAACAAAAUUUUUAUUAUGAUUCCGAUUUGAAAAGAAAAAUUAAUUUUGGUUUAUGUAUGUAUCAGCAAGAUAACAGAGUUACUAAUAUGAUAGCUAAAUUUUGUUUGUGGAAUAGUUUAACUUUUGAUUGGGUUGUGUCUAAUCCUCAAGAACUAGCAUCUAUUUUAUAAUUUUUUGAAUUUUUUUAGGAAUUUUAUUUAGGCAGUCAUGUAAUUUAUAAUUUAAUGAUUUGCCGGUUAAAAAAAAAAAAACUAAAAACUCUAAAUCAUUUUCAACUUAAAAAAGCAGAAAAAUGAAUUAGAUGGCAAUUCGAAAUCAAUAAUUCACAUCUCAACCUGGCAUAUUGAGAGAAUUAGAAAAACUUUGUCGACAUUUUACCGAACAAGUUGAGAGCAGAGCGAUGGACCGAGCAACCCAGUUCAUAGGCUUCGUUCAGCGAACCGAACAAGCUUACUUCACGCAGCUGAUCUUCUCAGUUCACUUAGACAGCUGCCAAAAUCGAGAGAGAAGACCUGAGUUAGCCGAAUGCUACUGGAAGCACAAAUCUAAUCUUCCCUUUUAUCAAAAUUCACCACCUCUUUCCUCUUCCAGUCAUUCACUCUCCUGCAAAACCAGCAAUAAGGAUGCGAAUCUAAUCUUUCCUUUUAUCAAAUGAACACGCUAAAACCCAUAAAAUUGAAACAAAUCUACAUCUUACUAUUGAUUUCCUCCCAAUCAUAAAAACACUCGAGAAUAUGUGAAGCUGGACUGGUUUAGCAUUCAAAUUAUCAAUAAAUGUCAACAAAGGCGAUGUCAUUGGGAAAGCUUAAAUCAUACCCAUACCUCAACUCAGUUUUUUGGUGAUUUUCAUUUCAUUGUUAUCCUUACCACUACACUUUCCAAGAUUUGCUAAACUGUUUUGCCAUAUAUUCGAUGGGGUUUGGAAGGGGUUUUCAGCUAGUGGAUAGAAAUUUGUUGCCAGAUUUAGAGACAGAUAUGGGGUUGAAGAAAAAGGCAGGAAAUGAUCUCAUGAAAAGGAAAUAGAGUUAUGAUAAGCUCAAUCAAUUGAAGUCAAUGCUCAAGGAGAUUCAUUAGAUUCACAUAAUGAAAGAACCCAAAAUUAAAGUUUUAAGGAAAAAAGGGAAGUGAAAAUUCGGAGGGAAUAUUAAUAUCCCAGAAAUAAAGAGGAGAUGAAGCCAGAAAUGGACACUUACCAAAAGCUGGAAAUGAAAGAGAACUCUCGGAUACAGCAGACCCCUAAUUGUGAACAGAAUAAUCUCAUAGGCGAGGGCUGCCGGCUGCAGAGUAAAUAGAGAUGUGAACAUGUUAUGUUUCAAAGUCAAGGGUCAACAGACAGACCCCACUUAAACAGCUUCCCUAUUCCUAAAAUAAACUUACUUUUAAAACUCUUAUCGCGAUAAAUUCAGUCAACUAAGUCAAAUUUAAAAAUAUUUGAUUCCAUUUGCUUUAUUUUUAUUUUAAAAAGUGUAAGAAUGUUAUUUAAAAAAAGCCUUACAAGUUUGAUAGAUGGGCAAAUUUUGAGAGAACGUGAAAAAUAAAAGUAAUUUUGCUUAAAUUUAAAAAUCCAACCUGGAAUAUUUGAAAUUUAAAACUAUUGAAAAUUAAAGUUUGAAGGAUUAAAGAUGAAAAUAACAUUAACAUUUUAAAAUUAAAUAAAUAAAAUAACAAUUUGGAAUUGAGUACUAUAUAUAUAUUUAUUUAUUCACUUUUUAUUUAUUAUUGAAGGAUGCAACAUAAUAGCAAAAAAAAAAUUAUUAAUAUAAAAUCUAAACAUGCAGUAAAGACAUAAACAAUUGGUACUCCAUCAUUUCCCAUUCUCUAAAAUCGCAAACACCGUUAUAGAGGGGUGUGAUUCAAUCCCUACAGAUUCUGACAGGCAGUGAAAAAUGUCUAACUUUCUUGAAAUCUAAAUAAUUAAGGUAUUAUAUUUGUGGUGCUAAACUUAUUCUUUACUCUAAACACACAAAUAAAAAAAUAAAUGUUUUUACUGAUUAUAGGUUAGAUUUUAAUCUAAUUAAAUGCAAUAUAAAAAAUAAAAUAAAAUAAAAUUUCUCUCCAAAAUAUAUUACAUUAAAUAAGAAAAACAAUAAUAACUAAAUAGAAAAUAAAUAUUUUUUUACGACAAACCAUGAAAUCCAUCAUUUUGAUCGGAUUGUCACAAAUCACAAACCGUUCAAGUGAUUAAAUAGAAAAUAAAUAUCUUUUAUUUUCUUUGCAGCAAAACAUAAGAUUGGUCAUUUUAGUUGAAUUGUUACAAACCACAAACAGUUCAAGUAUCCGAUCUCUAUUCAUCUCCAUACAGAAUACUCACAAAAUCUUAGAACAGUUUUUAAAGAUUAAGAAGAGAGAGGUUUUGAGUGCUAAUUAUGCCUUCCUACAAAUUUUAGAGACUCUCAAAAGGAUUUCUCACGAGAGUGCCUUUUUAUACUAAAACUCUAGACUUUCACUGUAAUAAUAUUUAUUUAUUUAUUUAACUAAUUAAAUAAAUAAAUUAUAACUACAGUCCAGAACUUCAAUAAGUAAGUCAUAUAAAUUUUAAACAGUUUUAAUUAAGUUUCUAUUUAAUUAAUUAGAUCAAAAUCGUAAAUUUUUCAAAUUAUAAUUUUAUCUCAAUGCCAAUUUAUAUACAAUUAAAUCCUACUUGAUUUAAUUUUUCAUUUUAUUUUGUCAUCUAAUUAUUUAUGUGUGUGACCCAUUACGUUUUAAAUAUAUUAACAAUAAAUAUAAUUAACUAAUUAAUUAAUUUAAAUGUCAAGAAUAUCGUCUAGCAACAUGUCAAGACUAUCCAAAUAUUCGGAAUGUCAAAAGUAAUUUGACUUAACCUUUCAGUGCAUAGUUUGUCAGUGUAAUUAAUAUUCCUUCAUCACAAAUAUUUCAAUUUAACAUUUGAUGCAUGAAACGUGUCUGCAAUAUUAAAUCAUAUUAGUUCUCAUUUAAUAGCCAUUGACCUAUUGAAUGAAAUUUCAAAUAUCAUUUGCUAAUUUAAUUCCACCUUGUGCAAAGAUUUCAUGAUCAAUGCUAGUAGAGAACAAAUGAAACAUCCCUAAUUUAACAUAGAAUGAUGAAUCUUAUUUCAAUUAUAUAAAUACAUUUAUAUAGUUUCUAAUAUAUUCAAUUCAUCCCUAUUUGUUACUCAUGAACCAAGUAACGUGUAAGAUAAAUCAAAACAUAACAAUCCGUAUAUAAGAUUAUUUAUUGAUUUCAAGUUAAAUGAUCACUUACACAAUCAUCACUUAAAUAAUUCAUAGACACACAUUAUUUUCCAUAUAGAUUUCUCAGCCAGGUCAGUUCAGUGCACUUAUUCAUAAAAUAAGUACCUACAUAUUAAUUCUAGAUAUCUCAAUCUAUGAGAUCAAUUACUUCCUCUAAAAGAAAAAACAUAAUAUGUAUCAGUCUCAACAGCUCUAAUCAUUGUCCAAUCAUGAUAAGAAUAUCGGCCAAGAACAUUUGGAUAUAUUACUUAAAUGCAAUAGGAAUCUCACAAUUAUAACCACAUUAUAAUUUCCUUUGCACAAUAAAUAGUCCCAUGGACUUUAUCUUUAUUCGAGAUUCAAUUAAAUUAACACUAAAGAUAAAUAACUGCCUUUGUAAAAUUAUAUUUAAAUACUUAAAAUACACAAAUAAUAAUAUUCAACUACAACAAUAGAUUGGCUAUAUGGCAUAUUACUAACAGUCUUCCUCUUACACUAAAACCAAUCACCUAUAUGACUUAUCACAUAAGUACAAAGGAAGUAAUUAUGUUUCUAUUGGAAUAAUGCCUUAGUAAGAGAAUCUUUAAGAUUGUUAUUAGUGAAACUUGUUUUAUCUCCACAUCUUUCCUUUCAAUGAUUUAUGUGAUCAUUUGGAAUCACUUAAGUAUAUACUUGGAUCUUUAAUGAGACCUGGGUUCCCCUGCUUAUACAAUGGCUCCAAUGCUAUCACAGUUCAUUGUAACUAGAUUAAUAAUGCUAGAAACCGUACCAAGUUCAGAAAUAAACUUCUUGAUCCAAAACUGUCUCCUUUGUUGCCUACGAUACAGAAGUGUACUUGGCUUUUGUUAUAAAAUCUACAGCAAACUCUAGUUUGAAACUUUUCCAACUCACUGCUCCACUAUUUAGAGUAAAAUUGUAACCAGAUUGAGAUUUGUUAUCAUCAAAAUCUGAUUGAAAAUUCGCAUCCAAAUAUUCGUGAACUUUGAGUUCAUUAGUCCCUUCAAGUAACAAAGCCAGGAAUCCCUUCUUGAAUUCCUCCAUGCUAAACCAUUUUAGCAUUUUGUCAAUGUAAGUAGAUUUAGAUAAGCCAUGCAACCUUUUAAAUCUAUCUCUAUAGAUCUUAUUUCGUAGAAUAUAAACGGCUUCUCCCAAAUCCUUCUUGAAGAAAUUCUUGAACAAUCAAGUCUUUACAUAUUGUAGUAAUGGAAUAUUAUUUCCUAUUAUUAAUAUGUCACCUACAUAUAAAAUAAGAAAUACAACUCCACUUCCAUUAACCUUCUUGUAUACAAGGUUCAUCCAUGAUAAAAUCAAACAGUUUAAUGAUAAAAUCAAACAAUUUGAUCAUUUUAUUAAAACAUAUGUUUCAUCUGCAUGAAACAUGAUGUUUCCAUAGAAGACAUUAUGGUCCCAUAAUAAAGUUAAUUAUCCAAAUUUGACAGAUAAUAAAAUUAAUUAACAUACAAUAUAACUAAAAAAUAUAACUAACUGAAAUUAAUAUAUUAAAUUUGAAAACCGACGACUUUAUUAAGAUAAUGAAAUAUAUUUGAUAGUAUAUAAUAGUCUAAUUUGUUCUCCAUUACAAUGCUAAUUUAGUAAUUUAGUACUUUUUAAAUAGAUAUUAUAAAAAAAUUAAUAAAAUAUUAAAAUAAAAAUGAGAAGAUAAAAUAUUAAAAUAAAAAUGAGAAGAUAAUUACCCUAUGAAUGCGGCUUAUUAUAAAAGGAAAUGAAACUAAAAAAUUUGAAUAGAAAACGACUAACAAAAACUAAAUCAGACUAAUGUUAACAUGUGCUAAUUUAAAAUCAAUCUUCAAAAUUUAAUACCUUUGCUCUUAAUUCCUUAAGAUUAUUUGGUUUUCUCUAAUAAAUCUUAUUACUGCAGGCAAUAUCUGUGAGUAAAUGGCAGUACACAACCAUUCCAAGUGAUACAAUUCUUUUGUUUUUUAAAGAAGAAUCAUCAAUAAUGUUUUAAAAAUAUAGAAAAAAUCAUUGAGGUCUUCAUGGAUGAUUUCACAGUAUAUGGUAACUCCUUUGAAGAAUGCCUAGCCAAUCUGAAAAGAUCCUACAAAGAUGCCUUGAAUCAAAUCUUGUACUCAAUUAUGAAAAAUACCACUUUAUGGUUAACCAAGGUUUGAUCUUAGGCCAUGUUGUUUCAGCUAAAGGAAUUGAAGUGGACAAAGCCAAGGUGGAUACCAUCAAAAAUCUACCUUAUCCCACAAAUGUUAGAGAGGUCCGUUCUUUCCUUGGCCAUGCAGGAUUCUACAGAAGAUUCAUAAAAGACUUCUCCAAAGUCACACUGCCAUUAUGCAGAUUGCUCCAACAGGAUGUAAUAUUUGAUUUUGAUGUAGAUUGCAAGAUAGCAUUUGAUCUGAUGAAGGAAUUGCUUGUGACUGCCCCAAUCAUUCAAGCACCUGACUGGAACUUGCCCUUUGAAAUCAUGUGUGAUGCAAGCAACUAUGCAGUGGGGGCAGUCUUGGGGCAACAUGUGGGGAAUUCACCCCACGUGAUUCACUACGCAUCUCGCACAUUAAAUGCUGCCCAAAGCAACUACUCAAUAACAGAAAAGGAGCUCUUGGCUGUUGUAUUUGCCUUGGAGAAAUUUAGACCAUACCUCCUAGGGAUUAAAGUCAUCAUUUAUUCUGACCAUGCAGCCUUACGAUAUCUGAUCAAGAAAAAGGAGGCAAAACCGAGACUCAUUCGGUGGAUUCUGCUAUUACAAGAGUACGAUCUGGAGAUAAGAGACAAGAAAGGGAAGGAGAAUCUAGUGGUUGAUCACCUAAGCCGGCUUCCCUCUAGCUCUGCACCAUGUCCAGUUAAGAAAGACUUCCCAGACGAACAUCUGUUCGUCUCUCAGUCUGCCUAGGUAAUCGCACCAUGCACACCACACUAGGGGAGUACUCAGUUUCUUUUGCAUUUUAAUAUUUCCAAUACAUUGAGGACAAUGCAUGAUUUAGGUGUGGGGGUGCAUACCUUUUCAGUCCAUUUUUGCUUUAAUUUUUAGUCUGAAUAGCCACAGUUUGAAUUUUUUUUUUCAUUUUUGUUAUUUUUGCUUUCAAUACACACACAUGUAGCCACAGUUUUUCUUUUCUUUUUUCUGUUUUGGUUUGCUUUACUCAAACACAUAGACUAUGUUGGAUGAGCUUUCUUUCCAUGACCCCAUUGAUGUGAUGACUCUUUAAACCUAUGUUGAAUCAAUUGCAGUGAGUUGUAUUCAUUUUUGGAAAUUUCCUUUUGAAUUGAAUCUUUGAACUUUCCAUGGAGAAAAAUAUAUAUUGCUCAUUAGAGAGAAUAAAUUGAAAGAUGUGUGAAUGAACUUAACAUAACUUGUUUUAGCAAUUGGUGAUGGUUUGCCCAAAUCCAUUGAGAUAGGAAAUUUGGCAAAGGCUUAGACUUCAAAGCACAAAUUUUAAACUGUUCCAAUGGUCAAAAGGCUAUGAACAGAGCUAGUAGCCACUUGCACAUAUGACCAACUGAAAAUAUAUACCUUCACAUCAAAAGGUUGGUGAUUUUUUCAAGCAAGAUUUUAGUGCAAAAGGCCGAAUAGAGUACUUCAAGAUAAGGGAAAAUCACUCUGAAAGCUAGAAAGAAGUCUUAAUUGAACAAAUAAUAUGUGCAUGUGCAAUCUCUCUCUUGAGGAAAACAAAUACUAGCCAUGGUAGGUAAAGGGAGACAAGGAAAGAAGGUGAGUAACCUUAGUGUAUACAUUCUUCAUUGCAAUGCUUCAAAGUAGGUAUCUAGAGGGAGAGCUUAAGUGGAAAUAAAGGAUCAAUUAGCAAAGAGAGCUUAUUUGACUAAGUUUAUUUGCUUGAGGAUAAGCAAAAGGCUAGGUGUGGGGGUAUUUGAUCAGUCCAAAAUUAGACCACUUUAUCAUGAUGUUAUUGGUGUUAAUUUACACUUUUUCUACCUAAUUUUGUGAUUUUGAUCUUAUUCUGCAGAAAACGGUGUAAAGAGGCGAUUUGGAGAAAAUGCCUCUAAAACUGUCUAAAAUAUAACAAAGGAGAGCAAGCAUGCCAAGUUGCACCAGAAGAGGAGACAAAUAAAGAAAGUAAUUUGAAAUUCAAAUUUCAAAUCUCCAAGAGCAUUCAAAAUCCAAGAUUCGGCUUAUUAAGGAAAGUGCUAAACAAGAAAAGUGGCAAACAAGGAAAGUGCAGAGCAAUUUGAAAUUCAAAUCUUCAAGAACCUCUUUUCCUUAUUGAAGAAGCCAAGUCUCUAGAACAUGCACAUUCAAAUUUAAAAUUCAAAUUCAGCUUGUCAAGGAAGCCAAAGAAGACACACGUGCCACUUGCACAUUCAAAAUUCAAAAUGCAAAAGAGAGGCUCCACCUCAUCAAUGUAAGGAUAUGGGCGGCAAGGAGAGAGACUUGGGCAGCAACUUGGGCAGCAACUAGGGCAACACUCAAAGGCUAUAUAAGCCUCUCUUCAAAGGCGCCGGAUCUCUCUCCAGAAACUCUCUCCCCAUCUUCUCUGCAUCCGGCGCACAAGGCUUCUUCUCUAAGGGCUUCGGUUCCUUCUCUUCUUCUUCUUUUCUUGUUUUUGGUUUUUGUUUCAGCCAUGAGUGGCUAAAACCUUUUAUUCUAGUUGACGAUUAGGUGAUACUUUGGUUAUUUUAUGGAUUGGGAGAUCUAAACAUAAGUUGUUUAUCUUUUGGUUAUUCAAUAUUUAUGCAAUUUCAUACUUGAUUCCAUUAUUGCUUUGUUAUUUUGAUCAAUGUGGCCACUUGAUUCUUGAUUGCAAGGUAAUAUAUUGUUAGUUUGAAUAAUUUUGAGUCCGUAAUUGCUUGGAUUGUUCAAACACAAGAACACUUGGUGUAAAAACUAAGGAAGUUGCAUAAUCUAGCAAUAUCACCAUGCGUUUGGGUAGCUAGAAUUAGGUCUCUCUAUUUCUUAAUGCAAUUGACAGUUGUUUUGAUGCCUAAGGCCCAAGGACGUUCCUUGGCAACUUGUUGAUUAGUAAUUAAUUAGAGGACGUUCCUUAAUUGGUUUAUGCCUAAGGAGAGAUAUGGUGAUGAGAAGCGUCUUCCACCUUCAUAACUAAUUUAUUGAAUCAAACAAAAGAACCUAAGUAUCAAUGAUCAAUCCCAACAACUGAAGUGGAUCUAAUUCUUCAACUAGACCUUUAUCAUAUUUGAUUGUCUUUAUUUUAAUUAUUCGCUUAUUUUAUUGCCUUCAGUCUUAGUUCAAUUGAAUCAAUCUCAAACCCCCCCUUUUUUACUUUACUUGCACUUUAUUUUUAUUUUGAUUUCAGUUUGUUUACUUUCAGUCUAUUUUCUUGGUCUUGAUAGGAAAGAUAGAUAAGUAUUAAUUCCCUGUGGAUUCGAUCCUUUCACCACUAUCUGCAGUUGUAAUAUUGUUGAUAACUAAAAAUAUUAUUUUUGACCGGCUUCGACAACCGACAGUCAGUGUUCAAUUUCAAACUCAAUUGCUACUGCAGGUAUUUAGUGGGGUACUUCUAGUGCAGCAACUGUUGUGCCAGCCACGGUAGGACCUAGGACCUCUGCAACUGGUUGUGCAGCAGGAUCCAAAACUGUUACUAUCUCCUCAUUGAUUGUGGAUGAAGAUGGUUUUGAGGCUUAGUUCUUCGAAUUUGCUCGUCUUCUCAAGUUAUUGGCAGUACGUUCAAUUUUUGGAUCGUAAAGGAUAUUUUCUUUACAUCCCAACUUGGUCAUUAAAAGAAUAAGUUAGUUUAAAUCAAUUCCUUGGCAACGGCGCUAAUUUUUUAUGGGUGUUAAAACUAUAAAAAAUAAUAUAUUUAAAACCAAUAAAUAUGAAUUGCGUAUAGGGAGAAUAUGAUCGAAUUUACAGGGAAUUGACACUAAAAAUUUUCAAAUAAUGACUAGAAAAAUAAAAAAUAAAAAUAAAUGGGGGUUUUGAUAAUGAGUUAAAAUAAAGAUUAAAACAAUUAAAGAAAGCGGUAAUCAAAAGAGAAUAAAAUUAAUCUAAACAAGUUCUAGUUGAAGUUUAGAAUUCAUUUCAGUUUGGGAAUUGAUCAUAAAAACAAAAAUAUAUUUAUUCGUUUCAAUAAAUUAGUUAUAGUUAUGGAAGACGCUCCACAUAACCAAUCUCUCUGUAGGUUUAAAUUAAUUAAGAAAUGUUCGCUAAUUAACUCUACCCAAUAAAUCACUCAAAGAACGUUUUUAAAAUUUUAUUUAUCAAGUGCCUUAAAAAUUAGAGAGAUCCAAUGCUAACCAACAAACCAAACUGCAUUGUGAGUUUAAGUUAGAUAAUGCAAUUUCUUAGUAAAUUACAAUAAUUGUUACUUAUUAUUGAUAACCUAAGCAAUUAUGAACUUCAAGUAUUCAAACUAAUAAUAUAUUACCUUGGAAUAAUAUAUUUUCUUUGCCUUCAAAAGGCAAAAAGCUUUGAUUUUGAGGCAUAUUAUUUUCUUCAUGUUAGGUUUGAUUUCCAAUCAAAAUAUAGUUUCAGCCACCAAAAAUUCUCCUUAAGAAGGCAGAUUUAAUAGCCAAAGACGUGGUUGCUAAAAAAUAAAUUUUUGCUCGAUGUUAAAAUUUUAAGCCGUCAAAAUAUACCACUAAAUUUUUUUUUUGUUCAAUUUUUACACGUGCUUGUUUAUAAGUUUCCCCAAUAUUUUAAAGGUUUCUUAGAAAUAGUUUAGGAGUAAUUUGAAUUAGUUUAUCAUUCAAGUCCAUAAUCAAACUUAAAAAGAUUCGACAGGUCAAAAGUAAGAUGCUUAAACUUAAUCAGCAAGGUGUCUCGUUAUCUACAACAGAAGAGCAGAAUUAAACUCAUUUAUUUAAAUUAUAAACUAGAAUUUAGUAUAUUAUUAUAAUAUUUGUGUUGUAUACAUUUAGAUUCAUGAAUAUAAUAUAUUCAUUGUCUUUUUUGAAUUUGUGGUGUGUUCAACAUUUAUGAUGCAUGCAAGUUAAAUUUAAUUAGUUAAAUACUAGCUUAACCUUUCCCUUUUAACUCAGGAAUCCAAAUACAAGGAAAAGAAGCCAAAUCUGACGGUGCACAUUAGAUUUAAGUUAUAUAGUAUUAUUCUGGUUUCUUAUUGUAAUAGUUAGACAUGUAAUUGUAUAAGGAGAUUUAGAGUAACCGUGCUUGACACCAUGAAAUUUUAUAUUGAUUUUAUAAAUUGAUCUCCAAGGGUAUAUUGAAAUUUGUGUAUUGAAUUUUAAACUCCAUCAUACAUAUACAUUAUUUGAUGGAGUAAAUGUUUAAAGAUUUCUAUAUAAGUAUUUAAUCUUUUGAGAAUAUGAAACAAAAUUAGGUAUAUAAAAAUUAUGAUAAACUUACUAUAUGCUCCGAUGACGAUAACGUUAAAUUGAUUUUAACUCCAGCAUUAAUAACAAUUUUAAUUUGAGUACGUUACAAUUAAGAUAUCAACACGCAUAUAUUUCGAGAAAAAAUUUUUAAUUUUAUUCCGAGUACUGUAAUGACCGUAAAUUUUUCUUAGAAAAAAAAAAGGAACUGUUACAUUUAGAUCAAGUUGCAUGAAACAACCAAAAGUUUGACGAAAUGGAAAUAGCUAUUGUAUACAAGAGUGGUUUUCAUGCUUAAGCUAGUCAUCUUGUUUUAACGAUUUUCUAUACCGUUUUCUAUCGUCAAGCAUAAUGAUAUAUUUUUAUUAAAAUUGAAAGUAAUGAAAAUUAUUAGCCUAUGAAAUAUCAUUAUCAAGUAAAAGAAAAACAUCAUUCAAACUGAGUGUAUAAUACGUUAGCUGCCAGAAAAAGAUUAAUUAAAAUAAUUAAAAAUAGGGGAGAUUAUUAUUAUGAAAAACAUAUUAUUCCAUUUAACGUUCAUUAUACAAGAAGAAUAUAAUACAAGAAUGAUUUUAUUUUGCACACUCAAACAAGUAGGAAAAGAGACAAGCGCACAACUGAAGAUAGGCUAGAAGAAUAAAAAUGGAGCUAAUUGAAGGAACAACAUAGCUUUCUCGGAAAUUUUGAUUUUGUAGGAAAGAGAGUUUCGUUAUUGCUACAGAAGACGAAGGAGCACAUGUAGGUAGAACGAAUCAUCUCAUAAACAAGAAAGAGCUGCCAAAUGAACAAAACGAUUGGGAUAGAAGCAAGUGCAGAAAUAGAAAUAGCAAAUUGGAUCAAUCCAUGUUUGAAAAUAAAGAAAAAGGCUAGAACAAAGGCAACCAUCAUUGUUAUUAUUGCUACGAAAAGGAAUAAGAGUCCACAGAUUAACUUCCUCGGCAAUGAUUUGAGAAAAUCAUCCAUGGAGAAUCGAGAAGUAAGAAUGGACAAGAAGGAGAGGAUAGAAGAGGUUGAGGAAGCUAAAGACACUGCAUCUGCUAUGGCAAAGAUUUUAAACAAGGUAUCACGAACAAAAAUAGGAAUUCCAGUACCUUGUCCAUUGCCACCAGGGACUGUAAAAGCUGCUGCAAAAACAACAGUGGCAAUCAGGGUUGCCACAAGCAUGCAUGAAUUUGCUGUAUUUAUCAUCCAUUUCUCUGCUUUUUUCCGUAGAUCCUCGUGAGCAUCCAUGAAUACCUCCCUUGCAGUCUUGCCAGCUAGAUUUUUCUCAGCAAUUUGCCCUGGUCUAACAACCUUCUUCACUUCCUAGAAUUUUCGCAUAUGGAUAUCAUGUUUGAGAGGCAUAAAGAGUUAGAUCCUAAUAGAUAAUUUUUUAGGCUUCUAAAAUCAAUAUAUUUAUUAAUAACAAUUAUAAUAUUAUGCUUGUUAUUAUAAGAUGUGUCUACACAUUUUUCUAAUGAAAAUAUUAUUUAUCAUCAGUGAGUAUGAUGCCUAUGAGUGUUAUCCACGCAGAAAGAACUAAUAAUAGGUUACCUCAAACCACAGUAGUUCAUGCUGCAGUUGGAGAGCUGCUCCUCGUAUAAUAUUUAGUCGACUCGGUGGUGGCAACUUUCCAGCCAAGUGCAAUAUGUUAUUCCCGUUCGCAUCUUCAUGCAAGUUUAUCAAAUUUUUCAUCAUACCCAACUGAAGGAUGAGCCGGAAGAUUUUCUCAUGUCGAUUCAAAACAGCUAUAUGAAAAAUGGUAUAUUGGUUAUCAUCCACCUUCAAUACUAAAUCUGGAUAUUGACGUAUAAGUAUGGUUAAGAACUCCACGUUUCCAUUUUCAGCUGCAAUAAAUAUUAGUCGUUUCCCAGAAGGUAGAAUCAUAAGAUCAGAAACUUCAUGCUCCUUCAGUAAUAUUACUUUCUCCCAAAGCUUUUGGACUAGCCUAAGACCUUGUUCAUGCUUACGUCUGUCAGAAACUGCAAUUGAGAUAACAAAUCUACUAAAUUUAAUUGGGUUUGCUUUUUCAGGUGAUUCAAAACUUUAAUAUAUAAAAUAAAAAGAAUUUCAUAGCAUCAUAUGAUUAAUACCAUUAAUGAUUAACAGUCAUGUAUCAACUAAUGUAUCAAAUGAAUAGUACCAGAUACAAUCACAGCAGUUAAGUUUAAAAGAUAGAAUACUAACAGAAGUUUCUGCAGUAGCUCCAGAUCCCUGUAGAUGUUUGAAUUGAAGGUAUACAAGGUUUUCGAGCAAACGCAUGCAGUGCUGUCUCUCCCUGUCUAUUCUUUUCAUCCCUCUUAGUGGCCAACUCAGGGCGAUCUUCUAUCAUCUCAAGUGCAAUAUCUAAAAACAAAUUACUAAUGUUAGCCUGACUUUAUAAUUUUACUCUUUUUAGAAUUUUCAAAUUAUUCAGUUGAAUUAAAAUUAGACAAAACUAAAGGAAAAAAAAGGCAGUUUUAACAUUAAUGUUAAAGACAAACAAAACAUGGAGCACCAGAGAUAACUUGCGAUUAAUUUUUACUAUUUUAAAAUUAGUACUAAAAUAUAUUGUUAUUUUAAUUGUCAACUGAAUAUUUGGAACGAGAAAUUUUAGUUUUCAGUCGUAAAAACAAGUUUUCAAAUAUAAUGUCUUGCAUUUAAAAACACAAUUAUGAUUAAUUAAGCACAAAAUCGAAAAUGUACUAAUUUCAUCCAUAUUUAUUGAACCCAGUAGCUAAUUUCAAUUUAUAUUAAUAAAAGCAUUUAGUUUCAGUUGGUUUACCAUCAAUAAAUUUUUUAGAGAUUAAUCGCAUUAUUUUUGUGUGAAGUUCCUUACCGUAUAUAUCAGACUCCACCAAAGCGAUAAGUAAACUAACGAGAUCGCCAUCUUCUAGUUUUAGUUGGUUGUCGUCACGAUGAAGCUUGUACAGUUGCCGCACCAUUUCUGCAUGGCCAGCCAAAGCUGCCAUAUAAAUAGGUAAGAAACCUUUCCCACCUCGGACCUUUGGCAAAUCAGUUUUCUUCUCCCUCAUAAUUUGAGCAAUUUUCACAUUUCCAGAUAUAGCAGCAUAGCAAAAGGCUGUAUUUCCCUGAUCCUCUGAUUCUGAGGCUACUGCUCCGGCUCCACCUAGAGUUGAUGCUUGAGAUGCAAUUGCUGUUGAAGUUGUUGCUGAGGUUGCGGCUUGGAUUGGGACCCUUACUUGUUGCGCUACUGUUACUACAGUUGUGGCUUGGGCAUUUUCUUGUUGAGCUGCAUUUGUGUUUGUGGUUGCAGAUUCAGCUUGAGCUUCGCUUGUGGAUGGGUCCUCUUCAAUGGUGGAUAAAGUUGGGGCUGCUGGUAUGGCUUCACUCGGAGAUGAAGCUUGAGGGGCAAUUGCCUUGGAAGUUGUUGCUGUGUUGGCAGCUUGGACUGGGGACCCUACUUGUCGCUCUAUUGUUACUAAGGUUGUGGCUUGGGCAUUUUCUUGUUGAGCUGCAUUUGUGUUUGUGGUUGCAGAUUCAGCUUGAGCUUCGCUUGUGGAUGGGUCCUCUUCAAUGGUGGAUAAAGUUGGGGCUGCUGGUAUGGCUUCACUUGGAGAUGAAGCUUGAGGGGCAAUUGCCUUGGAAGUUGUUGCUGUGUUGGCAGCUUGGACUGGGGACCCUACUUGUCGCUCUAUUCUUACUAAG